rnacentral:lncRNA from 1 species
GAUACUGCACCAAUUUUAUAGUUUCUUGUGGCAAUACAUGGAAAUUGGUAAGCUAGUAGUUACUGCUCUUCUUUCUUUAUACGUCAUGUAAAACGUUUUAUUCUUCUGCAAAAUAUUAAAUUUUAUCCCCAAUCAAUGAUGAAGAGUAAAACGAUUUCUGAAGAAUAAAAGCAGUUGACUAAAAAAGAAGAAAAAGAAUAAAUUGGCUCUCCACCUGUCAUAAAUCAAGUUAACAUUUAAAUAACACUGUUUACGGUUUCAGGGGAAUUAGUUUAAAAUCGAUAGUUUGUGUAUGUAAUUCAAA